GGUGGAUGCCCUGGCAGUCAGAGGCGAUGAAGGGCGUGCUAAUCUGCGAUAAGCGCCGGUAAGGUGAUAUGAACCGUUAUAACCGGCGAUACCCGAAUGGGGAAACCCAGUGUGAUUCGUCACACUAUCAUUAACUGAAUCCAUAGGUUAAUGAGGCGAACCGGGGGAACUGAAACAUCUAAGUACCCCGAGGAAAAGAAAUCAACCGAGAUUCCCCCAGUAGCGGCGAGCGAACGGGGAGGAGCCCAGAGCCUGAAUCAGCAUGUGUGUUAGUGGAAGCGUCUGGAAAGGCGCGCGAUACAGGGUGACAGCCCCGUACACAAAAGCGCAUGUGCUGUGAGCUCGAUGAGUAGGGCGGGACACGUGGUAUCCUGUCUGAAUAUGGGGGGACCAUCCUCCAAGGCUAAAUACUCCUGACUGACCGAUAGUGAACCAGUACCGUGAGGGAAAGGCGAAAAGAACCCCGGCGAGGGGAGUGAAAAAGAACCUGAAACCGUGUACGUACAAGCAGUGGGAGCACAGGUUUACCUGUGUGACUGCGUACCUUUUGUAUAAUGGGUC
rnacentral:rRNA from 1 species